CGCCCGCGGCGAACAUGGCAGAGGAGCGGCGCUGAGCUCCGCGCCGCCGCCCCCCGCACUUGUUGGCCGCCUCCGCCGGAGGAGGGCGGUUAUUCUUGCCCGCCCCGCGUCCGUUAAGGGAGGGCAGCCCCGGCGCCUCCGCGGAGGCGUGUGUGAUGGUGCGGGCAUGGCGGGGCAGCCGGUGGCCGCGGCGCUGCUGAGGCGGGGGGCGGCUGGUCCCGGCCCCGGCGGCGGCGGCAGCAGUAGCAGCAGCCAGCGAGGGCUGCCUCCUUCUCCCGCCCGCCCGGCGGCCGCCUCCCUCCGCCCCGGCCGCCGCUGAGGGAAGGAGGGAGCGCCUCGGUGUGCCGUGCCGUGCCGCCCGCCUCGCCUCGCCCCUCGCCGCCGCCGCCAUGCUGCCCGGGGUGGGGGUGUUCGGCACCGGCCUGACGGCGCGGGUGAUCGUGCCGCUGCUGAAGGCGGAGGGCUUCGCCGUGAAGGCGCUGUGGGGCCGCACGCCCGAGGAGGCGGAGGAGCUGGCCAAGGAGAUGAGCGUCCCCUUCUACACCAGCCGCAUCGACGAGGUGCUGCUGCACCAGGACGUCGACUUGGUCUGCGUCAACUUGCCGCCGCCGCUCACCCGGCAGGUCGCCGUCAAGACCCUGGGCAUUGGAAAAAAUGUUAUCUGUGACCGAACGGCGACUCCCCUAGAUGCCUUUAGGAUGAUGACUGCGGCUCAUUAUUACCCAAAGCUCAUGAGCAUCAUGGGGAACGUUUUGCGUUUCCUGCCCGCUUUCGUGAAGAUGAAGCAGCUGAUCCAGGAGGGUUACGUAGGGGAGCUGCUGGUGUGUGAGGUGCAGGUUCACAGCGGAAGCCUGCUAGGCAAGAAGUACAACUGGAGCUGUGAUGACCUGAUGGGAGGUGGGGGCUUGCACUCGGUUGGCACCUACAUCAUUGACCUCCUGACCUUCCUCACCAGCCAGAAGGCCGUCAAAGUGCACGGGUUGCUCAAGACCUUCGUGAAGCAGACAGACCACAUCAAGGGCAUACGGCAGAUCACCAGCGAUGACUUCUGUACGUUUCAGAUGGUCCUGGAAGGCGGUGUGUGCUGCACAGUGACACUCAACUUCAACGUCCCGGGGGAGUUUAAACAAGACAUUAUUGUGGUGGGUUCGGCAGGACGGCUGAUUGUAAUAGGCACUGAUCUCUAUGGACAGAGCAACAGCUCUCCUCAGCGGGAGCUCCUGCUAAAAGACUCCACGCCAGUCAGCAACUCCUUACUUCCAGAGAAGGCCUUCAGUGACAUCCCAUCCCCCUACCUCCGGGGCACCAUUAAGAUGGUUCAAGCUGUCCGGCAGGCAUUUGAGGACCAGGACGACAGGAGGACCUGGGACGGGAGGCCCCUCACGAUGGCUGCCACUUUUGAUGACUGUCUGUAUGCUCUGUGUGUGGUGGACACCAUUAAAAAGUCAAACCAGUUGGGGGAAUGGCAGAACAUUUCAAUCAUGACUGAGGAGCCAGAACUGAGCCCAGCAUACUUAAUCAGCGAAGCCAUGCGGAAGAGCAGAAUGUCUCUGUACUGCUAGCUCCUCUCGGCUCCUAGGAAAGAAUAGGAACCAGACAGCUCUUAAAGGAAAUGGUGGAAAACAGUAGAAAUCCAACCCGAAACUGUAUGAUGCUUAGACGGGUGGUGUCCUUUUAAAUCUUUGUGAACUCACACUUGAGAGAUGCACAUCGACAAUUAAUUUCAUAUAGCUCAACCCAGAAGCUUUCACCUCCACCAAGUGGUGAGUGUGAGUGUAAAACAAAAGGGAUGAGAAAAUUUCCCAUCCAUUUCCAGGGAAAAAAAAUUAGAUGAGACCCCCCCACACCUCUUCACCUCCUUCAAGUGGCCAGCUACUGAUACUGUAGUGAUCAUUCCCUGUCAUCUGUGCAGGGGUGGACAAACUCUUUUGAUAUGUGUGUUAUGAUCUUCUUUAGAUUGCAGUCUUGAAAUAAUAUAUUCUUUUGAGAAUAUAUUCUCGAAAGAAUAUAGUGAAAGGCGCAUGAAUUGUCCCAGUAAACAGGGAUACUGCUUUUCUGCAUAAAGCUGCUCCAGUGCUUAUGUGUUUACAGUGCUAGGUCCUCAGAUAGGAAAAAAGUAGAACAUGAGCAUAUAGCACUAAGUUGUAUUAAACUUGAGAAAAACCUUUUCAGGCUUUUUUGUUAAUUUUGACUAGGGGGAAGAAGAGAACAUUUGGAUGAGCGGUAAAUUAAAAGAGAAAAAUAUGACCCUCUUUCUCAAGGCUAUCACAUUAGUGUUGCCAUUUUAGGUUAGAAAGAGAACUGUCAGAAUAAUUUAGAUUUUUUAAAAAGCACUUAUGUUUUUUGCUAUUUUUAGGAGCGCCAAGGGCUUCUCUAGGGCUUCUUCUGCAAAUUAUUCCAUCUGACUGCUGUAUGCUCCUGCCUGUCCUAUGCCCGGUUUUAGAGCUUUUUGAACAGAAGGGCAUCAGUAGUGUGGUUCAUCUCAUCUGGCUUUAGCCAGCUGAAAGUCGGGUGUCUUGUCCUGAUCAGCUGUGCAAGGACACGGUAGUCAAUACAGAGAGAGCUUUCCAAAGGCUGACUCGGUGAAUCCUCAGAUUAAUAUAGGAGGUGCCCAUUGGAGAUUCCUGUCCUCCUCCUUUGCAGAGAAUCUUGGCUUCUAAAUUUUAGGUGGCUAAAGUUGGGAAACUUGACUCCCACCCCAAAAUUAUUAAUGUGUGCCUCAUUUUUGAAAAGCGUAUGUGUGACCUUUCAUGAAAUAUUCCCCAAAGUGUAAUAGUGUGACUGAUGAAGGAAUAAUGUAAUACUGCAAAACCACGCCCUAACAGAGAACUGUUUCUAUCCAUGUUGUUCUGCCAGUUCUAGCAACUGUCUCUGGGGCUGACCGCUUCUGCUAAGACCUCGAGCAAGCUUUCAUCAUUCCUUCUUGGAAGCAGCCCUUGACAAGUUUGGAGGUUUUUCCUAAAAAUGGAUUUCUCUGAGAAUUCCUGAGGUAGUAUCUGUGCCAACAGGAAUUUCCCAUUAUAAUUGUCACAGUAUGCCAUGCUAUCCAGUUCCUGCCCUGAAAAAUACACAGAGAAAUACAGAAGAGAGAAUUUGAUCAAGAAAUCCUCUCUCUCUCCUGAAAAAUGGAAUUAGCCCCAGGGGGAUCAGGAGAGUUUUCAUAUAGUAAGGCAAAACCCAUUUAUUGAAAAUAGUGGCUAGUUCAAGUCAUGAAUGCAAGCCUGGUGGAUAAUUAACUGUGUCUAGUUAAAUAUCAUCCAAAACCGGAACAAAACAUGGACCACAGUGUUUGUGACUCUUGCUUCGUAGUGGUUUGGUCAUUGCGCUGGAAUUGCUGUUCGUGUCUUUGCACCUUGUUUUGGUUCACGAAUGUUGACAGUUUUUCCUGUCUGUAUUUUUUUUUUUUCUGUGUCCUUCUGAGUGGAAGAAGAUAUGCUGCCCCUGCCCCUGCAGUGAACAGUCCCGAGGCGAGACACAGUGUGUAGGGAAAGUACUACUGCACUUCUGUCCCAGAUCCAAAGGUUUAGGUGACAGGCAUCAUCCAUCCUCUUUGCAGACUUACUGAUGCAGGUAGUGCUGCUUAGCAGAAGGAAAAUCUAAUGCUUUGGUUACGUAGCCAUCUGAUGCUAGUAUUAGUACCGGCUUGCAAAUGGGUUUGAAUCCUGUACAGCUCGUUGUGCGACCACAGUGCUGGCCCCGGAGAGGCAGGCAGAAUGAGCAGAGGCAGGGUGGGACCUCCUCUUCUGACGGCAACGGAGAUCUUACACUAGAUUUAGGUGAAGUUGUUACCUAACUGGGACGGCAGCAGUAACUGCAUACGUUCAGGAUUGUAUGACAGUUUUUCCAUUCUCUAGGAGGUGAAGGUGCUGUAGUGUCAAGUGUAAAGAUACUUAACUUCCAUCUGGCUUAGAGGAGGAAGGAAUUUGGUUUAUUUAUAGAAUUUGUAUUACUAUUUUGAUAAAUUGUCACUUUAAAGUCUGGGAUCUUUCUUGGCAGCAUCAAGCCCUCUGCUCUUUUGGUACAGUUGAAAGUACAUUGAAUUGCCCUAAGUAGCCUCUGGAGUUCAUGCUGGAUUUAAGAAUUUGGGCAGCAGAUAGCAGAGAUGUACUUGAUCGAACUCAAAAGUGGUACCACACCAGGAAACAUAUAUUUGGAACUGCACUUUUAAUGCUGUGCCACAAGGUUUGAGAUGAAUGCAGGCCUAAUAAAUAGCCAAACUGCGGCUACUGCUGGAAUUCACAGUAGCCCCCAAAUGAGCUUGUUCAUACACUAGGUAAGCAACGUUCAUUCCUCUUUCCCAGGGCUGCUGCUGGAGAGGCUCUUUCCUUUGCCAUCAACCUGUGCACACAGGUUACUGAACAUUAUGGUCUGUUGCCAAAGACAAAAAGAGCCAAAGGGGAGAGCCCAGGUGAAAUGCUCUGCUGCUCUGCAGGGGUCUGUUCCAAUGCUGGGACGCUCAGCUGAGAGACGAUGUCUUAUUUACCAUGGGAACUGCAUUGGGUUCCACACCAGGGGUAGGCAACCCUGCGCUGUGUGACAGCCGGGCACAACUGGAGUCCUUCCGUGUGCCCAAAGGGAGAGCGGUGACUGCAGCAGGGAGCGACAGGAAGGUAUAUCUGCAGUCUGGUACCUGUAUGCCUGCGCCAACAGGGAGAACGUGCUGGUUGCGUGGAGGGUGAGGGCUGCACCUCCGGAGGGUGGUAGUAGCAGCCUUGCUCCACCUCUGUGUUUGGGAGCCCAAGAUGGGACCCUGCCCUCGGGGAAGCAGCAUCCGUCCUAUACUCCUGCCAGAUCCCUGCACGUCCUCAGUGCUGAACUCAGUGAAGUCCUACGUGGAGGCAUAACAACUCUGCAAGAGCUUGGGGUUUCCUAUAUCUAAUAUCACGCAUGUGUUAAAUUAGUACUUUAGCUGUGUAGUUAGAAAUACCAAGUAGAGAUGAUACGUCCUUACGUGUGCUGCCAAUAUCGCAGAGAAUCAGGGCAGGCAUAGAUGAGUUCAGGCUCAGGAUGGGCUGCUGCGGAGUUCAUCCUUUGCUUUGGCUGAAAGCAUGAGAAAUUCCUGCCCAGCCAGCACAGGGCAAUCAGAGGCACUCUCCACUUUGUACUUAGUGUUUCCUUCUUUCAGAUAACUUUCAAAUCAGUGACUGUACAAGCAAACAGCUGUCCUGGAAGUUCAGCUAUUCAAAAAAGGAGGCUUUGCUGCAUGUGGUCACAGCGCAAGGACAAUUCAAUUUCUCUGUUAUGGUAUUUACUUCUGUGUCCAUAGAAAUGUGGAAAAGACCCAGACAAUUUAAAACGACUCAUUUCUCUACCAAAACAACAAAAAAGCAGAUUUUAUUUAAUGGGUAAAGAUAAACAUAGCAUCUUGAUGGUGUCUUUGCAGAGAUUCAGAAAUUACUGAAGAUGGAAUUUCUUGUUGCUGGGAAUUUUUAUAUUUGACUUUUAUCUAUAGCCUUCAAUAUAAAAUAUCACAAAUUAUGAAGUCUCUUCAGUGUUAAGAAGCUCUGUAUUUACAGGGGCUUAAAAGUACCCAGCAGACCCUUGGCUUAGUGCAGAUACUCAACACUGGUGUGAUGUUCCAGUGGCCCAGUGAUGUACCCUUAAGUAUGUAUGAAACUCAGCACUGGACUGUUUGACCUCUGCAGUGCUCUCUGGGUGUCUAGGACUAGUUGUGAAAUUGCAGGAUUAUUCAGGACAGCAGUUUCUUGUCAUCGUCGUUGUUGUUGUUGUUGUUGUUACUUGUGGGGAGCAAAGUUUGUAAAUUUUAGAGAUGGUGUAUGACUGAAUAAUAAUUGGCAGUCUUACCUGCUUUAAAAUUUCCUCUCUUUUGAGCUGCUGGAUGAAGUCUGUCCAAUAAAAAUAUUUUCCCCUUAACAAUAACUGCCCACUUCCAUUAGCUCAUGAAAAGACGAAAUUUUAAGUAAAUGGGACUAUACAUAAUGCUGCAUUCAUGAACCGAUGUCAUAACCUCAUGACUUACUGAGGCCAGAGACCAGGCAAGCAGUGACUUUUUGGAAGCUGCCAAAUUGAAGCCUUGGGGUUGGGGAAUGAAGGGUAUCAGCUUAGGUCAAACUGAAAUAGCUUUUAUUCAGCAUUUUCAGUUAAAUGAAUAAACAGAAUGGCUAUGGUCAAUCCAAAAGCGAACACAAAACAUGUUUGUAGAAGGUCAUUUACAUUUUUUCUUUUGGGAUUAAGUUCCAUUUUUAAAGAAUGAAAUGAAAUGAAAACUUUUUAAAAAUCCAUCUUUUAUUCUGUUUUGGCAUGUGUUAAAUUGACUGUUUGGGGUUGGGUAUGGGAUUUUUGGGGGUUUUUUGGUUUUAAGUUCAUAGUUUAAAAAAAUCCCAUCCAUUAGGUUCAGUGAACGUCCAUUAAGGACAUUCAGUGAAUUCAGCUGCCCUCGGGCAGGUUUGGCUCUGAACCUGCAGCCUCGCAGUGUCAUGCAGCGACCUCAUUUCUAGCAUCUGAAUUUGGCCAUCUGGGUUUCAUUUGUGUCUUCUUGUGGCAGUGGGAAAACUGGUUCAUUACAUGGAGUUGGCUACAGAUAAUCAAGAUUCUUUUUGCAGCAGUGCCAGCCAUUGUCGUUAAAAGCACUUAACUCUAUUAACUUGUUUACCGUGGUUAUUUAUGACCUUCCAGCCGUGUGCUGUCCAUUACUUCUUUGCUUUUUACACCAGCCGUCAGACUCGCCUCCCUCCCCUUUCUGUGUCUCAUUCCAUUGCAAGCCACGACGCGGGUGAGCCUGCGCUCAGUCUGUGUUACGCGUGGCAUACAGGGGGGCUAACCUACGACUUGAAGUAACUUUUAACACAGAUUGAUUAAAAAAAUUGCAUUAACGCCACAACUACCCAAGUACGUGGCAUACCGAAUGCCCAGCCAGGGCAGGAAUCGGAGCUCCCUGCUAUGCUGUGCUUCACAAGUGACACUCACUGUUUCUCGCUGUACUGGUUUUCUUUUAUUUGAUUUUGAAAAUGAGAAUAUGUUCAGUUUGUUGCUGUGUCAAUAUUAAGUAUAUAUUUAUUGUUUUUCAGACAUACAUACAUAUAUAUAAAUGCUAUAUAUAUAUAAUGUCAACGCAUGGACAUAUGUACAGUAGAUAUUUUAAAGAGCUAUUUAUCAAGAAAAGUAAGUGUUAUAAGUAAACAGAGUUUAUAUUUUAUAUAUUAUGUAGAUAGCAAACAAAAAGUGGUUAAAUUAUAGUAGGACUUUUGGGGGUGGGGUUGGAGAAAUGGGCAAGGACUGGUUCUAGCAUUUUAAAUAGCCAAACUACUUUGUACGGAAGCUGCCUGCUGUGCCUCUCGGCUGCAAUAUCUGUUUGUUUCUUCUUCUGGAAGAUGAUGUGCAUUGUUACUUUUACAUUGCUUGGGGAAUGUAGUUAGUUUAUUCUCAGCCAACUGGUAUGUGCUGCUUAAAACAUGGUUUCCUGCUGUUCUGCAUAUUUGCAUUGAUGGAAUAAAAGGAUCUGAACUGGCAAAUAAAGACUUAAAAGGAUGUGUUCUCAGCUGUCUGUUGG